UUACGGGAGGCAGCAGUGGGGAAUAUUGCACAAUGGGCGCAAGCCUGAUGCAGCGACGCCGCGUGGGGGAUGACGGCCUUCGGGUUGUAAACCUCUUUCACCAUCGACGAAGCCGCAAGGUGACGGUAGGUGGAGAAGAAGCACCGGCCAACUACGUGCCAGCAGCCGCGGUAAUACGUAGGGUGCGAGCGUUGUCCGGAAUUACUGGGCGUAAAGGGCUUGUAGGUGGUUUGUCGCGUUGUUCGUGAAAUGCCACAGCUUAACUGUGGGCGUGCGGGCGAUACGGGCAGACUGGAGUACUGCAGGGGAGACUGGAAUUCCUGGUGUAGCGGUGGAAUGCGCAGAUAUCAGGAGGAACACCGGUGGCGAAGGCGGGUCUCUGGGCAGUAACUGACGCUGAGGAGCGAAAGCGUGGGGAGCGAACAGGAUUAGAUACCCCGGUAGA
rnacentral:rRNA from 1 species